AGUGGCGGACGGGUGAGUAACGCGUGGGCAACCUGGCCUGUACAGGGGGAUAACACCUGGAAACAGGUGCUAAUACCGCAUAAGCGCACAGGGCCGCAUGGCCCGGUGUGAAAAACUCCGGUGGUGUAAGAUGGACCCGCGUCUGAUUAGCUUGUUGGCGGGGUAGAGGCCCACCAAGGCGACGAUCAGUAGCCGGCCUGAGAGGGUGGACGGCCACAUUGGGACUGAGACACGGCCCAAACUCCUACGGGAGGCAGCAG
rnacentral:rRNA from 1 species